GGUAAUGUCUCCUAACCUAUAUCGAUGGAGAUACUCGGCUAUGCUGUGGGCUUACUGAAAAGGUGAGCCUUAGGUGCUUUUGUCACCAAUGGUAUAGUGUGAGGUCGGGUUAAAUGCCC
rnacentral:ncRNA from 1 species